rnacentral:tRNA from 1 species
CAAAAUNUAGCUUAAACAAAGCAUCCCGCUUACACCGGGAAGAUGUCUGUGUAACCCGGAUUAUUUNGNGCCUAAAAUCUAGCCUAUUAAUACCCUAUAC